rnacentral:rRNA from 1 species
AUACGGGGGAUUCAAGCGUUAUCCGGACUUAUUGGGUUUAAAGGGUGCGUAGGCUGAUAAAUCAGUCAGCGGUGAAAUUUACGGGCUUAACUUGUAGCUUGCCGUUGAAACUAUUUAUCUAGAGAUAUUUCGGCGUAUGCGGAAUGUAUCAAGUAGCGGUGAAAUGCAUAGAUAUGCUACAGAACCCCGAUUGCGAAGGCAGCUUACCGGGCUGUAACUGACGCUCAGGCACGAAAGCGUGGGGAUCAAACAGGAUUAGAUACCCUGGUAGUCCACGCAGUAAACGAUGAAUACUAGCCGUUCGCGAUAUACAGUGAGUGGCACAGCGAAAGCGUUAAGUAUUCCACCUGGGGAGUACGUUCGCAAGAAUGAAACUCAAAUGAAUUGGCGGG